UGCAUUUACCUGAUGGUUUAUUGAUGCACAGUUGUUUUAUUUUGCACUCACACUAAGAACUAUAUCUAUUUUUUCUGACUGGCAGAUUGGCUACUCUUCACUCUUGAGCUUGACAGAACUGUCAAAAUGUUUCUUAUUAAGAACCACAGAAUGGGUGAGGUUGGAAGGGACCUCUGGAGGUCAUCUGGUCCAGCCCCCCUGCUCAAGGAGGACCAUCUAGAGACGGCUGCCCAGGACCAUGUUGUCUUUUGAGCAUCUCCAAGGAUGGAGACGCCACAGCCUCUGUGGGCAGUGCUGGCUCACCCUCACGGUGAAAAAGUGUUUCCUGAUGUUCAGACAGAACCUCUGUGUUUCAGUUUGUGCCCAUUGCCUCUCAUGGUAUUCAUGUUGAUUGUUGUAUUAAAAAUCGCUGCAGCUUUAGACAUUUGCAGUUCCUACAUCAACACCUGUGGUGCACAUGAAACACUUCAUAUGGGGAAAAAAGGAAUGCUAAUCUAUCAACUCUGAGCCUGUUUAGUACUUUCCAAAACUUGUGUGAUAGGACAGCCCAUCUCUUUGUUGCUGGUGGCCGCUGAUGAUGUGGUGGCUGUUGUGGGGCAUUUAUGUCAACAAAACAAGCAGUUCUACUUCUUUCAGGGAGUUACCUGUUGUUACUGAAGAUCUGCAGUUGUCAUUUCCUGUCUGCAAAAGUCACUAGCAAUCGGGCGAUUACACAACAAAGCCCCAGUUCUGGAAAAGUAAGAAUGGUUGUACUGAGAUGAAUUAAGACUGGAAAAAUUUGCGGGUUUUACCCACUAAUUCAAGGACUUGAGUUAACAGGCAGUGAGGAAAGCAAUGAAUGCUGCUGUGACACUCUUCCUUUUUAUAUGAAUAAGUUUUUUUUGAAGCUAAUACAUGGUAUUUAAUUCCAGAUAUUCUGUUUCAACUUGAUAUUUAAUAAACUUUGUAAUCUAG